rfam:TPA: Bos taurus chromosome 28, whole genome shotgun sequence.
UCCCUGGUGGCUCAGUGGUAAAGAACCUGCCUGCCAGUGCAGGAGACACAGGUUCGAUCCCUGAUCUGGGAA